rnacentral:rRNA from 1 species
ACGUAGGCAGCAAGCGUUGUUCGGAGUUACUGGGCGUAAAGGGUGCGUAGGCGGUCCUAUAAGUAUGGUGUGAAAUCUCCCGGCUUAACUGGGAGGGUGCGCUAUAGACUGUGGGACUAGAGUGUGGGAGAGGAAAGUGGAAUUCCUGGUGUAGCGGUGAAAUGCGUAGAUAUCAGGAGGAACACCGGUGGUGUAAACGGCUUUCUGGACCAUAACUGACGCUGAGGCACGAAAGCGUGGGUAGCAAACAGGAUUAGAUACCCUGGUAGUCCACGCCCUAAACGAUGCAUAUUUGGUGUGGGUCAUUCAGUUGAUCCGUGCCGGAGCUAACGCGUUAAAUAUGCCGCCUGGGGAGUACAGUCGCAAGGCUG